GAUGAACGCUGGCGGCGUGCCUAAUACAUGCAAGUCGAGCGGAUGGAUUAGGAGCUUGCUCUUAUGAAGUUAGCGGCGGACGGGUGAGUAACACGUGGGUAACCUGCCCAUAAGACUGGGAUAACUCCGGGAAACCGGGGCUAAUACCGGAUAACAUUUUGAACCGCAUGGUUCGAAAUUGAAAGGCGGCUUCGGCUGUCACUUAUGGAUGGACCCGCGUCGCAUUAGCUAGUUGGUGAGGUAACGGCUCACCAAGGCAACGAUGCGUAGCCGACCGGAGGGGGGGAUCGGCCACACUGGGACUGGGACACGGCCCAGACUCCUACGGGAGGCAGCAGUAGGGAAUCUUCCGCAAUGGACGAAAGUCUGACGGAGCAACGCCGCGUGAGUGAUGAAGGCUUUCGGGUCGUAAAACUCUGUUGUUAGGGAAGAACAAGUGCUAGUUGAAUAAGCUGACACCUUGACGGUACCUAACCAGAAAGCCACGGCUAACUACGUGCCAGCCGCCGCGGUAA
rnacentral:rRNA from 1 species